rnacentral:rRNA from 1 species
GACGAACGCUGGCGGCGUGCCUAAUACAUGCAAGUAGAACGCACAGUUUAUACCGUAGCUUGCUACACCAUAGACUGUGAGUUGCGAACGGGUGAGUAACGCGUAGGUAACCUGCCUGGUAGCGGGGGAUAACUAUUGGAAACGAUAGCUAAUACCGCAUAAUAUUGAUUAUUGCAUGAUAAUUGAUUGAAAGAUGCUAUUGCAUCACUACCAGAUGGACCUGCGUUGUAUUAGCUAGUAGGUGAGGUAACGGCUCACCUAGGCGACGAUACAUAGCCGACCUGAGAGGGUGAUCGGCCACACUGGGACUGAGACACGGCCCAGACUCCUACGGGAGGCAGCAGUAGGGAAUCUUCGGCAAUGGACGAAAGUCUGACCGAGCAACGCCGCGGGAGUGAAGAAGGUUUUCGGAUCGUAAAGCUCUGUUGUAAGAGAGGAACGGGUGUGAGAGUGGAAAGUCCACACUGUGACGGUAUCUUACCAGAAAGGGACGGCUAACUACGUG